GGCCUCGAAAGCACGGGGCGUGGGAGCAGAGCCAAGCUGUGGUCACAGGACAAAGCCAGUGCGGGAAGCUGGCAGCAGCUCUGAAGGGAGCCUGGCUGUAUGCACUGCAUGGCAAGAAAUUCAGAGAUUACUUCUUCAACUGAAGUGUUAGAAAUGUACAGUUUAUGGGCCUAUGCCUGCAAAGACUUAUGCAUAUCUUCUGUGGCACUAAAAACAAAUGCAAUAGCAGAAGACUUGAGAAUUCUACAGACAAACAAAAACUACACACUUUAAAUAAAACAUGGUUACAC